rnacentral:lncRNA from 1 species
AGGAAUGAGGUACCAGCUUCGAAAAUACAAGGUUUAACAUCUCUCUCUCAGUCGAUAACACAAACGCAACAGAGCGCAGCUCAGGCGAAAACACACGAACCCAGAAUCCACCGCACACUCGUCACUCUCUUCCGGUGAGUUCUUCUUCUUUCCCGAAUUCCAAUGUAAUCAUAAUAUGAGACUUACAAUUUUCAUGCAUUCUCUGAUUUGGAAGAGGGUUUCAACCAGGGUUGUUAAUGGCGGAUAGCAUAGCGUAGCGGCAACCCGAAAAAUGCUAUUUCGAGCGCUAUAGCGGUGAAUAGUGGAGUAGCGGUGAAC